CUGACAUUCCUAUGUGGUCCAUUGACUCAUACAGAGAAGGAUGAGUGGUCAGAAGUAGCUGGUUAGUUUUAGGGCCCAAAAUAUGUGAGUUCCGUUUUAAGCAAUAAACAUGGGAGAGGCAUGUGUUUCUACUCAUCCAUUCAUCAACCCUCUAACUCUGAAUAGUUUGUAUUCAACUCUCUUAUUUCUCUCACCAGAUCCCUAGUUCUGUCUCAGGACAUCAUCACUGUGAAUUAAAAAAAAAGUGGUGAAGAAGUAUGAAGAAACAGAAUUCAACUUUGAGGUCUGAAUGAACCUGGGGCUUUGCCAGAUCUGGGUUCCUCAAUCACACAUCACUGCAACGGACUCCAUGACCUCGCUAGCGAGAAUUGGUAGAGCCAAGUCAGCUAACAAUCCCUGAGUUAAGGCUUUAUGGGCUGUGAAAAAAGCCUGUGAGGAAGCAAUUACCUCUGAGGAAAUUUGGGAGUGGAGAGAAGAUUCAGAAGAAACCGGUCAUUUCUCUUCUCAGAGAACAGCUUGCAGGAUUAUCAGUCUCUCUAAAGACCAACAUCUGUCCCUAUUUAUAGGGUGCAGAGGAGGUCAUAAACAACAGCAUCAUCUUAAAUGUACAAUCAUUUUGAUGUUGGAGAGGACAUCCAGUGGUCUUCACCACUUGCACAGCAGUAAGAACUGCGUCGCUUGUCUGAUGUGCAACUGGGAGAGGAUUCAUGACAGAGUCAUCAUACAGACGCUGGACCAAAUUCUCUGGUUCAUCCAACCUGAUACAACUCCACUGAAGUCCAAUAAGCUGACGCAGAUGAAAGUUAACAAAUGAUAACUUGCCCCUGUUUUAUUCUCUACACUUAUUCAAGCAGGUGGACAUUUACCAAAUAAACCCCAAAGCGAACUCA
rnacentral:lncRNA from 1 species